GGCGAGGGGAGUGAAAAAGAACCUGGAACCGUGUACGUACAAGCAGUGGGAGCACAGGUUUACCUGUGUGACUGCGUACCUUUUGUAUAAUGGGUCAGCGACUUAUAUUCUGUAGCAAGGUUAACCGUAUAGGGGAGCCGUAGGGAAACCGAGUCUUAACCGGGCGUUAAGUUGCAGGGUAUAGACCCGAAACCCGGUGAUCUAGCCAUGGGCAGGUUGAAGGUUGGGUAACACUAACUGGAUGACCGAACCGACUAAUUUUGCAAAAUUAGCGGAUGACCUGUGGCU
rnacentral:rRNA from 1 species